AUCCAGCUGACGAAUCCCAGUUAGGACGAAACGCGAGUCCUGGAU
rnacentral:hammerhead_ribozyme from 1 species